rnacentral:tRNA from 1 species
CGGGGCGUAGUAUAGUGGUAACACACCGCGCUGGGGGUGCGGUAUCGGAGGUUCGAUUCCUCUCGCCCCGA